UUCCAGCUCCAAUAGCGUAUAUUAAAGUUGUUGCAGUUAAAAAGCUCGUAGUUGAAUUUCGGGGUUAGUAGGUUGGUCAUGCCUCUGGUAUGUACUGAUCUCACUGAUUCCUCCUUCCUUAUGAACCGUAAUGCCAUUAAUUUGGUGUUGCGGGGAAUUUGAACUGUUACUUUGAAAAAAUUAGAGUGUUUAAAGCAAGCUAACGCUUGAAUACAUUAGCAUGGAAUAAUGAAAUAGGACGUUCGAUCUUAUUUUGUUGGUUUCUAGGAUUGACGUAAUGAUUAAUAGGGAUAGUUGGGGGCAUUAGUAUUCAAUUGUCAGAGGUGAAAUUCUUGGAUUUAUUGAAGACUAACUACUGCGAAAGCAUUUGCCAAGGAUGUUUUCAUUAAUCAAGAACGAAAGUUAGGGGAUCGAAGACGAUCAGAUACCGUCGUAGUCUUAACCAUAAACUAUGCCGACUAGGGAUCGG
rnacentral:rRNA from 1 species